AAGGGCCUAAAUCCAAUUAUUAUAGUUCAUGGGCCUAAGGCCUUUAGGGCUCACUCUCACAUCUAUAAAUAGAAGGUUUAGCAUUAGCAUUAGGGGAUCAUGGUUUACAUGGGAACAACACUUGUAAAAUGUAAUUAUCUCGAAGUAUAGUCGAAGAACUCGAAUAUCUCCCAUGGGCGUAGGUCUUGACGGCCGAACCACAUAAAUCCUGUCUCGAUUAUUGCUUUUUAGAUUGGGUGUUGGUUUCAUGCAUCAUCAACUGGCUCCGUCUGUGGGAAAUGGAGCUUAAGACCUCGCCGGAAAAAGGGAAAAAGUCAUAUUCUAAACCCUCCAGCAGGGGCCACGCACCGUCUCUGCAUAGGAAUCGCGCAUCGCCUCCGCACACGUCGCCGGCGACGGUAUGGGUUCACACGCUAUCGCUGCAUCCUACGAACAAAAUCUAGCUCGAUUUCUUCAUUUUGAAGACAGAGAAAGGUCCUACUAGUGCUCUGACUUGGGGAACAAAAUCAUUCAUCCCCUCAUACAUUACUAGGGUGCCGAUCUCCACCAGAAUUAUACUGGCGAGGGUUCCAAUUGACGGGGAAGAUUUUUCUUCCUUAGGGCUCUUCUCGAUUAGUUCUAUGCCAACCUCGAUUCUUUAAUUUCUGCUCAUUUUGUCUACAAUCAUUUCUGAUUUUGUUCGAUUUUUGUUUUUGUGAAGGGCAUAAUAAUGUUAAAAAAUCUUGGACGGAUUGAUUGAUUGAGGGAAUUACAGAUUUAGAAAAUAGAAGGUCGGGUCUGCUAGCUUCAGCCUCCAGUUCGAGCUGGGGAAAGAUCGGUUCGGGCAAGGGCCGAGGUUCCGUGUUAAUUGAGUCCACAAAUCGCAGCUCGGUUUUCUCCAACGCCGCACUGCCAGCACAAGGGUCUUCUAUUUCGGGGCAUCAUAUUGUCCCAUUUCUCUUGAUGAAGUCGAAGCCACCAGCGAUUUGGUUUAACGAAGCAGGGCAAGUUGAUGAUAUUCACAGCUUUGAAACUCGAUUAAUUGAGCCUUAUCACGCUGGAAUAAGAUUUUAUUAUAAAAAUGCAUAAGCUAAGGAUAUUGCUCGAUAUACAUUUGAGAUUGCUUGUUGUUACCAAGGCCAACCAAGGAUCUGAAAAGCAGGACUACCGAAGCUCCAGUGAAAGUAAUUCUUAUGUGGCUUUGAUGCCGUUCAAGUCGAGGAACCAGGAAUAUGUGAUUACACAUCCUUUGAUGUACUCUACUUUCACUUGAGGGGAAGCCUGAUUAUGGGCUUAUUAUUGUUUUUAUUUUUUCGAAGGCCAAUGGGAUAAGUACUAAUCAAUAUUUGUAUUUGGUUAUGCUAAUAGAAAUUAUGCCUUGUUUACCAUGAAGAAUGGGAAUGACAAUUACUAGUUUUCUCAGUAUAUGGAAUGAAUUUUGGAUAAAUGUCUUUAUGUGAGGGAUGGGAUUAUUUUCAUAAUAGGUGAUUAUUGGGUAUUCAAGUUAACCACUCGUGAUAUUUUGGCUGUGAUUAUCUGUUCAAAUUUGUUGGGAUUAUUCGCUGGGCCUUAUUUGAGUUUUAGUGACUGAAUUUUGGUUUAUGCGAUUAUUGUUUGUUUCUGAUUUAUACUUUGCGAUAUUGUGACUAUAAUUGUGAUGUUUGAAUUAGUCGAGAUAUUUGACAAGGUUGUAAAGAUUACGGGUCCACGAUAAUUUCAUUUCUUUUUGGUAAUGUAAUAUCGCAACAGGGAUGGAGUAAGGCGUAUACUCUUUUUUACUAAUGGUGUUCCAGCCCUGUCUUAAAGGGCUUUCAUAUGUUACUAAUAUUUGUGCUUAAGAAUUCUUACAGCACAUGAUAAACAACUUUGGGGAAAGACUUGAAUAAAUAUGGUAAACACCAGACACAUGGAAAGGUCACCCACUAACAAGUGGUGACUCAGGGAAUCAUGUAUGCUUAAUUGACACGGGAGAGCAGCACAUCGCUGACUUCAACUUACACACCACUGGUCGAACAAAGACAACACUGUUCAACCAGACUAGGGGGGGAAUAGCUGAUGAAGACUAGAAUACUCAUCAGCGCUGUGCUUAGCAAUACAAGAACAUCUUACUUGAUUACUAUUAUUGUUGUUAUUAUUAUUAUUGAACGAAGCCAACCAGCGCAGGUUUAAUUGAAGACCUCGGAUAAUAAAGGGACGACUCGCCUGCGCAGCUCAAGGGGACUACUCAGCAUGGGCAACGAGGGAGUUCUGUCUUCAUUACCCGAACUAGUCGAAGAAGUCAAAGUGCCUGCGUAGCCUAAUGAGUUCGAAGCACCUGCGCAGGUUAAAGAACUUGAAGUCUCGGCAUAGUCAUAAGAUAGCGAAGCUUUCGGCGCAGUCAAACUAGCGCAGAUGGAUCAAAUCAAGACUAAAGUUAAGUGUAUUAAGGCAUUAAAGGGCCUAAAUCCAAUUAUUAGAGUUCAUGGGCCUAAGGCCUUUAAGGCUCACUCUCACAUCUAUAAAUAGAAGGUUUAGCAUUAACAUUAGGGGAUCAUGGUUUACUUGGGAACAACACUUGUAAAAUGUAAUUAUCUCGAAGUAUAGUCGAAGAACUCGAAUAUCUCCCGUGGACGUAGGUCUUGAUGGCUGAACCACGUAAAUCCUGUCUCGAUUAUUGCUUUUUAGAUUAGGUGUUGGUUUCAUGCAUCAUCAGUAUCCGGUAUAUGAUGAUGACAUGUAACAGCCCGGCUUCAGACUUGACGGCUGUCCCCACAGACCAACACGAAUCUUUUCUAGCGCAUUUUGUCCUCACUCGCACGCUCCCCGAGAAACUUCCCAGGGGGUCACCUAUCCUGAAAUUGCUCCAAGACAAGCAUGCUUAACCUUGGAGUUUCUUCCAUGUGGGCACCAGAAAAGAAGAUGCACCUUGUUGAUAUGAGUAGCAGCUAUCAAAUCAUUUAAGCUCUCUUCGUUCGGGUGUGUUUCGGUUCAUCCAUGCGCCUCUUCGCUUGGAAGUCUUAACCGGAGCCGCUCCUUGUCUGUGCCUCUUUUGCACCAGCGAUCACUCCGCACUUCAUCGCCGGGCGUCACAUGACAUU